rnacentral:lncRNA from 1 species
AGUAGUUCUAAUACAUUUUGUGAAAUAAAAGUGGAUUGUGAAAUAAGUGAUGGUAUGUAUGUUUUUGAAAUACAAGUUUUAGAUAAAUGUUUUUUGAAUGUUGGUUUUUGUCCUAUGGUUAAGGACACUUUAUCAUAUAAUUAUACAUACUGUAGCAAUGGUUGUAAGUAUAAUAAUAACAGGGAACAAAGUUAUGGUGAGCAUUUUAGUACUAAUGAUAUAAUUACUUGUUUUAUAAAUAAAAAAACGAAUAUAAUUUCAUUUAAAAAAAAUGGUAAACAUAUGGGUAAUGCUUUUAAAAUUUUUUAUAAACACCAUGAUUUGCCAUUUUUUCCUUAUAUAUGUGGUACGUACUUUCAUGUAAAAUUUUUUUUUGAAAAAUUAAAAUUUGCUGAAUCAGAUUACUAUAAAGAGUUGAUUGAAUUGGCAAGAUUAGGGUUAACUAAAGAACAUGGUAAACAAAUGUAUGAUCAUAAUACAACUAAAGAAAGUGAACUUAGUGCUACUACUACUACUACUACUACUACUACUAACACUACUAUUACUACCAUUACAGACAAAAAACAAGGCAAUCAUGAUUAUGCUAGAGAAAAAGUACAUAGUAACGUACAUAUGAGUAAUAACAUGGAAGCAGAUGAGUUUAAAAAAAACAGUAAUAUAGCUACCAUUAGUUAUAAUAAAAACAAAUUGUUUUGUAUUGUUUUAUGUCCUACACGUGAUUUAGCAAUGCAAACGUAUAAUAAUUAUCUAAUUUAUGCAAAAUGCUUUGAAGAGGAAGCUAGUUGUAUAGAUAUAGGAUUGUUAAUUGGGGGAGAACAACCUAAGAGAGAUUAUUAUAAUAACAAAAAAAGAAGGGACAAAUCACAACCUUAUAAUAUAUUAAUAUGUACUUGUUUUAAAUUACUUGAAAGUAUAAAAAAAAACACCAUAGAUUUGCGUGAUGUGCACUUAUUAAUAUUAGACGAAGCGGAUGAAAUUAUUAAUAUGGAUGAAUCUUCAGUUUUGCAGAUAAAAGAAAGUUGUAUAAAAUAUAGCUCAAAUAUACAAACUUGUUUUUUUUCUGCCACUUUACAAGAUAAUAAUGUUAAACAUUGUAUUAGUAAAAUAACGAAUAAACC